UCCCAUGACCCACAAACCAUCGCAGAAGUUCAUGAUUGAGCCACCAAAGCCAGCCAUUAGGUGAGGGGAUACAAUCUCAGUCUAUGGACUAGAGAUUCUCUCUUAAAAACGAGUCCAAGGUCUCAAAGACCUGGUGCAACAAUAAUUCUAUGGUGCAUAGGGGUCAUCUCUCGCACAUGUACACGUAUCACCUUCAAUGAUGUCUCUCUUUCCCAAUACGGCUAUCAUAUGUGCAUGUCGUAUGAUGGUUCAAUGAUGAGACUUUGGCCCUGGUCUCUACAAGCCUACCAUCACACACAAGGGUCAUACAGUCCCUUGGCUCACUAACUCAGGCAACUUCGACCUAUCAAGGGAUAACCCUACUUACCCUCCUCUGUUGUGCUCUAUGCCCAGGUAAUUAAGGGUUUUCCAACUUGACUGGUCUAACACGUUAAGCUUAGUUUGAGUUUAUCCCUACUUACCCUCCUCUGUUGGACCAUAAUCUCUUGGUCCCUCUGGACCACUCUCCCACUGGAGUAUAUUGUUCCACUAUAGUAAAUUUGGUUACAUGCUCUCAUACAGCCUUUAGUGGCCACAAAUACCCAAUAUAUUCCACUAUCAAAUAUCCUAUUUACAAGUUCUAUAGGCCUUUAAAUGCCACAAAACCCAACACAAACAUUUUCCUUGGGCAUAUCUUCGACCUCAACAAGGGAUUACCCUUCAGAAAACCCUCAACGGUAGUGGGUAUACCUAGGGGCAAGGGUUUUGGAUAUUCCUGG
rnacentral:lncRNA from 1 species